rnacentral:rRNA from 1 species
AGAGUUUGAUCCUGGCUCAGAACGAACGCUGGCGGUAUGCCUAACACAUGCAAGUCGAACGCGAACGGAAUCUUCGGAUUCCAAGUAGAGUGGCGCACGGGUGAGUAACACGUGGAUAAUCUGCCCUAAGGUCAGGGAUAACACUUCGAAAGGGGUGCUAAUACCGGAUAAGCUCACGCCUUCUUUGGAAGAAGUGAGAAGAGAUUUAUUGCCUUAGGAUGAGUCCGCGGUCCAUUAGCUAGUUGGUGGGGUAACGGCCUACCAAGGCUGCGAUGGAUAGCUGGUCUGAGAGGAUGAUCAGCCACACUGGAACUGAGACACGGUCCAGACUCCUACGGGAGGCAGCAGUGGGGAAUUUUGCGCAAUGGGGGAAACCCUGACGCAGCAAUACCGCGUGAAGGAUGAAGGCCCUUGGGUCGUAAACUUCUGUCAGAGGGGAAGAAAUACUCGCAAGAGUGCUGACGGUACCCUCAAAGGAAGCACCGGCUAACUCCGUGCCAGCAGCCGCGGUAAUACGGAGUGUGCAAGCGUUGUUCGGAAUUAUUGGGCGUAAAGAGCAUGUAGGCGGUUUGUUAAGUCUGGUGUGAAAGCCCGGGGCUCAACCCCGGAAGUGCAUUGGAUACUGGCAGACUUGAGUAUGGGAGAGGGAAGUGGA